rnacentral:lncRNA from 1 species
GACAUUGCAUCGAAACAACUAGUAGAUUCAUAGAGAAACCAAGAAUACAUCUUAUGGAUGCAGCUAGAUGUGUAAAAUAACUAUUGGUUUUGGACUUCAUAAAGGGGUAUUCCAUGUCAAGUUAUAAUAGGUUAGUUGCAAUGCUGGUUAUGGUGGAGGUCAUGAUACAAAACAAUCUAUAUACCUGGUUACAUGCUCAGUCUUGGGUUCAACAUAAUCUAUUGAUGUAGCAAAGACAACCUACAGUAUUGUUGUCACUUCAAAAGCGAAAUAUGGACCAGCAGUUGUGGCAACAUAACAAAGCACGAGGUUGAUACAACUCACACCAACUGAUUGAUUCUCUAGUGCAACUCCAUUCCCAUAACAAGUCAGCAUACACUAGACCGAGAAUUCAUUCAGAACCAAACACACAAACAUGCACUCACUUUGAACGAGAAAAAGUGAUUCAACAUUAAGUUGAACUAAAUAU